rnacentral:rRNA from 1 species
UACGUAGGUGGCAAGCGUUGUCCGGAUUUACUGGGCGUAAAGAGCGCGCAGGCGGUCGUUCAAGUCGAGUGUGAAAGCCCCCGGCUCAACUGGGGAGGGUCACUCGAUACUGAUCGACUCGAAGGCAGAAGAGGGAAGCGGAAUUCCCGGUGUAGUGGUGAAAUGCGUAGAUAUCGGGAGGAAGACCAGUUGCGAAGGCGGAUCUCUGGGCAGUUCCUGACACUGAGGCACGAAGGCCAGGGGAGCAAACGGG